UGGGGAAUAUUGGACAAUGGGGGAAACCCUGAUCCAGCCAUGCCGCGUGAGUGAUGAAGGCCUUCGGGUUGUAAAGCUCUUUUGGUAGGGACGAUGAUGACGGUACCUACAGAAUAAGCUCCGGCUAACUUCGUGCCAGCAGCCGCGGUAAUACGAAGGGAGCUAGCGUUGUUCGGAGUUACUGGGCGUAAAGGGCGCGUAGGCGGUUUGAUAAGUCAGAUGUGAAAGCCCUGGGCUUAACCCAGGAAUUGCGUUUGAGACUGUCAGGCUUGAAUUCGGGAGAGGUGAGUGGAAUUCCCAGUGUAGAGGUGAAAUUCGUAGAGAUUGGGAAGAACACCCGUGGCGAAGGCGGCUCACUGGACCGACAUUGACGCUGAGGCGCGAAAGCGUGGGGAGCAAACA
rnacentral:rRNA from 1 species